rnacentral:rRNA from 1 species
UACGUAGGGUGCAAGCGUUGUCCGGAAUUACUGGGUUUAAAGGGUGCGUAGGUGGGCAGGUAAGUCAGUGGUGAAAUCUCCGAGCUUAACUCGGAAACUGCCAUUGAUACUAUCUGUCUUGAAUUAUCUGGAGGUGAGCGGAAUAUGUCAUGUAGCGGUGAAAUGCUUAGAUAUGACAUAGAACACCAAUUGCGAAGGCAGCUCACUACGGAUAUAUUGACACUGAGGCACGAAAGCGUGGGGAUCAAACAGG